AUUGAACGCUGGCGGCAGGCCUAACACAUGCAAGUCGAGCGGAUGAAGGGAGCUUGCUCCUGGAUUCAGCGGCGGACGGGUGAGUAAUGCCUAGGAAUCUGCCUGGUAGUGGGGGAUAACGUCCGGAAACGGGCGCUAAUACCGCAUACGUCCUGAGGGAGAAAGUGGGGGAUCUUCGGACCUCACGCUAUCAGAUGAGCCUAGGUCGGAUUAGCUAGUUGGUGGGGUAAAGGCCUACCAAGGCGACGAUCCGUAACUGGUCUGAGAGGAUGAUCAGUCACACUGGAACUGAGACACGGUCCAGACUCCUACGGGAGGCAGCAGUGGGGAAUAUUGGACAAUGGGCGAAAGCCUGAUCCAGCCAUGCCGCGUGUGUGAAGAAGGUCUUCGGAUUGUAAAGCACUUUUAGUUGGGAGGAAGGGCAGUAAGUUAAUACCGUGCUGUUUUGACGUUACCAACAGAAUAAGCACCGGCUAACUUCGUG
rnacentral:rRNA from 1 species